UACGUAGGGGGCAAGCGUUGUCCGGAUUUACUGGGUGUAAAGGGUGCUCAGGCGGGUUUGUAAGUCAGUGGUGAAAUCCCGGGGCUUAACUCCGGAACUGCCAUAGAAACUGCAAGCCUAGAGUACGGAAGAGGUUGAUGGAAUAUCUGGUGUAGCAGUGAAAUGCGUAGAUAUCAGAUAGAACACCAAUGGCGAAGGCAGUCAACUGGUCCGUUACUGACGCUAAAGCACGAAAGUGUGGGGAGCGAACAGG
rnacentral:rRNA from 1 species